UCAGGAUGAACGCUAGCGGCAGGCUUAACACAUGCAAGUCGAGGGGCAGCGGGUCUAGCAAUAGAUGCCGGCGACCGGCGAAAGGGUGAGUAACGCGUGAGCAACGUGCCCGUAUGUGGGGGAUAGUCGAUGGAAACGUCGCGUAAUACCCCGUAACACAUUUGGCCGCAUGGCCUUAUGUUGAAAGAUUUAUUGCAUACGGAUCGGCUCGCGUGCCAUUAGGUAGACGGCGGGGUAACGGCCCACCGUGCCGACGAUGGCUAGGGGUUCUGAGAGGAAGGUCCCCCACAUUGGAACUGAGACACGGUCCAGACUCCUACGGGAGGCAGCAGUGAGGAAUAUUGGACAAUGGCCGGAAGGCUGAUCCAGCCAUGCCGCGUGCGGGAAAGACGGCCCUAUGGGUUGUAAACCGCUUUUGCGGGGGAGCAAUAAGAGUCACGUGUGGCUCGAUGAGAGUACCCUGCGAAUAAGCAUCGGCUAACUCCGUGCCAGCAGCGGC
rnacentral:rRNA from 1 species